GAUCCUGGCUCAGGAUGAACGCUGGCGGCGUGCUUAACACAUGCAAGUCGAACGAACCUUCGGGUUAGUGGCGGACGGGUGAGUAACGCGUGGGAAUCUGCCCUCAGGAGGGGGAUAACGGCUGGAAACGGCUGCUAAUACCCCAUAUGCCGAGAGGUGAAAUGAAUUUCGCCUGAGGAUGAGCCCGCGUCUGAUUAGCUAGUUGGUGAGGUAAGAGCUCACCAAGGCAUCGAUCAGUAGCUGGUCUGAGAGGAUGAUCAGCCACACUGGGACUGAGACACGGCCCAGACUCCUACGGGAGGCAGCAGUGGGGAAUUUUCCGCAAUGGGCGAAAGCCUGACGGAGCAACGCCGCGUGAGGGAUGAAGGCCUCUGGGCUGUAAACCUCUUUUCUCAAGGAAGAAGAUCUGACGGUACUUGAGGAAUAAGCCACGGCUAAUUCCGUGCCAGCAGCCGCGGUAAUACGGGAGUGGCAAGCGUUAUCCGGAAUUAUUGGGCGUAAAGCGUCCGCAGGCGGCCUUUCAAGUCUGCUGUUAAAACGUGGAGCUUAACUCCAUCAUGGCAGUGGAAACUGUUGGGCUUGAGUGUGGUAGGGGCAGAGGGAAUUCCCGGUGUAGCGGUGAAAUGCGUAGAUAUCGGGAAGAACACCAGUGGCGAAGGCGCUCUGCUGGGCCAUAACUGACGCUCAUGGACGAAAGCCAGGGGAGCGAAAGGGAUUAGAUACCCCUGUAGUCCUGGCUGUAAACGAUGAACACUAGGUGUCGGGGGAAUCGACCCCCUCGGUGUCGUAGCCAACGCGUUAAGUGUUCCGCCUGGGGAGUACGCGCGCAAGUGUGAAACUCAAAGGAAUUGACGGGGGCCCGCACAAGCGGUGGAGUAUGUGGUUUAAUUCGAUGCAACGCGAAGAACCUUACCAGGGUUUGACAUCCUGCGAAUCUCUUGGAAACGAGAGAGUGCCCUCGGGAACGCAGUGACAGGUGGUGCAUGGCUGUCGUCAGCUCGUGUCGUGAGAUGUUGGGUUAAGUCCCGCAACGAGCGCAACCCACGUCUUUAGUUGCCAGCAUUUAGUUGGGCACUCUAGAGAGACCGCCGGUGAUAAACCGGAGGAAGGUGUGGAUGACGUCAAGUCAUCAUGCCCCUUACAUCCUGGGCUACACACGUACUACAAUGCUACGGACAAAGAGCAGCAAGUUCGCGAGGACAAGCAAAUCUCAUAAACCGUGGCUCAGUUCAGAUCGUAGGCUGCAACUCGCCUACGUGAAGGAGGAAUCGCUAGUAAUCGCAGGUCAGCAUACUGCGGUAAAUACGUUCCCGGGCCUUGUACACACCGCCCGUCACACCAUGGAAGUUGGCCACGCCCGAAGCCGUUACUCCAACCCUUGUGGAGGAGGACGUCGAAGGUGGGGCUGAUGACUGGGGUGAAGUCGUAACAAGGUAGCCGU
rnacentral:rRNA from 1 species